rnacentral:rRNA from 1 species
AUUGAACGCUGGCGGCAGGCCUAACACAUGCAAGUCGAGCGGCAGCGGAAAGUAGCUUGCUACUUUGCCGGCGAGCGGCGGACGGGUGAGUAAUGUCUGGGAAACUGCCUGAUGGAGGGGGAUAACUACUGGAAACGGUAGCUAAUACCGCAUAACGUCGCAAGACCAAAGAGGGGGACCUUCGGGCCUCUUGCCAUCAGAUGUGCCCAGAUGGGAUUAGCUAGUAGGUGGGGUAACGGCUCACCUAGGCGACGAUCCCUAGCUGGUCUGAGAGGAUGACCAGCCACACUGGAACUGAGACACGGUCCAGACUCCUACGGGAGUCAGCAGUGGGGAAUAUUGCACAAUGGGCGCAAGCCUGAUGCAGCCAUGCCGCGUGUAUGAAGAAGGCCUUCGGGUUGUAAAGUAUUUUCAGCGGGGAGGAAGGUGUUGAGGUUAAUAACCUCAGCAAUUGACGUUACCCGCAGAAGAAGCACCGGCUAACUCCGUGCCAGCCGCCGCAGUAA